GGCUGGAGCAGAGCUAUAGAGAGAGAGAGUUGCGACACUUCCAUUGGACUCCGUUGUAGCGCCUACUUCCGGGGUAUGGAGCCUCGAAUAGUUCCAAACAACCAUUUUACGGCGUAGGAGACCAUUCAUUUCCAUUGCUGGCCGCCGAGUAACUUCUGAGUUGCCUUAUUAGGUCCUCCACAGUCGCCCCAUCAGUCCCUGGCAGUCUGGUCCCUGGAGCAGCUGGCCCUGGCAAAAGUUAUUCCUUCACUGUUGACCCCUGACUGACUGGCCCUCGGCACACAAAUCCCUGGAUCACCCGCCACUGGAUCACCCGCCACUGGAUCACCUGCCCCUGAAUCACCUGCCCCUGGCAAUAUGGCCUCUUGAUUGCUCUCUCUGUCUCCUGUGAUGUCCUUUUCAAUGCUCUUGAAAUCCACCUAAAUUUCUCCCUCAAUCUCUGUAACAAUUACAAGGUAAUCCGUGAUAACCCUUCUCGGACCGAUUGGAGCAUCCAAAUGCUGCACAGCCAACCAUG
ensembl:lncRNA